UACGUAGGGUGCGAGCGUUGUCCGGAAUUAUUGGGCGUAAAGAGCUCGUAGGCGGUUCGUCGCGUCGGCUGUGAAAACCCGGAGCUCAACUCCGGGCCUGCAGUCGAUACGGGCGGACUCGAGUUCGGCAGGGGAGACUGGAAUUCCGUGGUGUAGCGGUGAAAUGCGCAGAUAUCAGGAGGAACACCGGUGGCGAAGGCAGGUCUCUGGGCAUUAACUGACGCUGAGGAGCGAAAGCAUGGGGAGCGAACAGG
rnacentral:rRNA from 1 species